AAGAAUACCCAUCCUUGGAUGAGAAUAUUCAUCCUUGGGUGAGCGUUUUCGUCCCUUGAAAAUUCUUCAUUCCACUUUUUCUCAAAUCAGACGAAUGUAACAUUGAAUACCAGUUUCGGUUGAAAAAAACGCCACAAAAAAAAUAAUCAGUAACCUGGAUAAAAGACCUAACAGGAUGUUCGUAUGCAUUUCUUCUGCGAUUUUCUUCUACAGCAAACCUGCGUUCUUCCCCCAUGAAAUACCAGGAUUCGUCGAUUAAAGGAAAGAUUGGGUUUUUGAUACAGUGGGUUAACAGAUUCAAUUUAGGGUCUCAGAUUCAAUUUAGGGUCUAGGGUUUCGUCGAUUGGAAUAAAGCUUGGGUAUUUCAUACAAUUUAGGGCAAAGGUACGAUUUUUGUCCAAGAUAAGUCAUGGAGAAACCCUAAUAGCCAUUCAAGAAAAGAUUUCAGUAUUUCACAAUUCAGUUGGUAAUUCAUAUUAAUGAAUCAUGCUUCCAAUGUUCACUACACCAUCAGCACCAUCGUAGCCAGCUCCACCAUCAAAACAAGUUCACCACCAAGCUACACAACCAUUAUCAAUUUACUUCAGUCAAACUUUGGAUGCCAAAAUGAACAUAACAUCUCAUUCUAAGUGAACGAGUAGUUGAAGUAUUUCACAACGCUACCCUGCUUGCAUCACUUAUCCAUCAAUCCUGUAGAUAUGUCAAACAUUUAGUAGAAGAAUAUGCCAAAUGUGUUCUUUAUACUGUGGCUUUUUGAAGGCUCACUUGGGAAGAUGGGGAUAGCUGCAGAUAUGAUGGGAAUGUGACUUAAGCUUACGAUGGGACUUUAGGUAUGGGAGAUGGAUAAUUUGAGUUUUGAAGUAAACCAAAACGGUAGUGUGUUGGAGGCAGGACAUUGAUGAUGAUUACUCAGUUCAGAGACAUGAUAUUAAGGGGUGGGGGGUAACUAUAUGUUUUGCAAGUUUUGCCGGAUCGAGGAGGAAUCAUAGGGAUAGGAGAAGGUGGACGAGAUCGAGUUGGUCUGUUACACACUCUAGCAACACUGCUUGAGUCCACGGGAAGUGUUCUCAUUCAUGCACUGCUAGGAGUGAAAAUCUUACCUCUUGAAGACCAAAAGUAAGCGGUCCUGUCGGGGGUUAUCCAAAAUCGAAAGAUUACAGACUGAUUCUUGCAGUGGCAACAUUUUUUCCCCUUUCGAUCGAAAACAGUAAUGGUGAAAGCGAAGGUGACAAGGGUGAUGACGAUGAAUAAAUAUACUUACUCAAGAUACGGUGAUCUGGAUGAAUAAAGGCGGAGAUUGGACACCACAUGGCGUUUCCUAUAGGAUGUUAACUAUUUUAUACUUACUCUGACAGUAGAUUUUGGUUGUCUGUAUAUCCAAUAAUCCCAAGUACCCAAGAGAAUGUUGAAACAAACGUCUUCUGAUGAUUACAUGAACAUAGUUCAAAUGAUGCCUUCUUUUAUGUUGAAAAAUAUGGUCUAUCCCUUGGAUUAAAGGGAUCAAACUAAAUUGGUUACAUUAACGGUGCUUUGUAGUUCAUUUUUUCAAAUCUUAGUGAUCUGGAUGACAUCAUUUUGAAUAUUUCUGGUGGCUUAGAUUAUUAUUAUCAAUUUCCACUUA